rnacentral:rRNA from 1 species
UACGGGGGGGGGCAAGCGUUGUUCGGAAUUACUGGGCGUAAAGGGCUCGUAGGCGGCCAACUAAGUCAGACGUGAAAUCCCUCGGCUUAACCGGGGAACUGCAUCUGAUACUGGAUGGCUUGAGUUCGGGAGAGGGAUGCGGAAUUCCUGGUGUAGCGGUGAAAUGCGUAGAUAUCAGGAGGAACACCGGUGGCGAAGGCGGCUCUCUGGACAGAUACCGACGCUGAGGCACGAAAGCCUAGGGGAGCAAACAGG